rnacentral:rRNA from 1 species
CUUCGCAAAGGGGUUGCUCAGCUCGGGAUCCUGAAAGCUUGGUCACUUUGGAAGCACAGAAACGUGUGCACCUUCGACAAGAUCCAACCGUCUACCUCGGCCCCGAUGCAAACCAUCCUUGACGAGGCUGGGCUGUGAGCUUCGGCUGGUGCCAAAGGGCUGGCCAAAUUCACGUUCGACCCACCUUGA